AUGGCAGGGGAGUGGCAGCCAAGGCUGAGACACAGACAAGCGCAGGGUCCAAGGAGACAGCGGUUCAGCCAGGCCCCUCAGAGGGCAGAUGAGGGCCACAGCACAGCCCACAGGGACCACAGCCCACGGAACCUCAGCCCACAGAACCUCAGCCCACGGAACCACAGCCCACAGAACCACAGCCCACAGAACCACAUCCCAUGGAGGGACCACAGCCCACUGGGACCACUGCCAUGGAGCAAGGAGCCCCACGUGAUCCGUCCCCUGCCCUACUGGCACCGACUCUCCUUGAUCCACUGGGAUGCCCACACUCCAUGGGACACACGGCCACACUGCGGAUGGGCAUUGCCCUCUACACUCAGCCCCACCCAGCGGCCACUUCUGUCCACAUCCUGCUGGCCAGAGGCCCGGGCGUCAGACACCCCCAGACCACCUGCCCCAUGUUUGAGCAGACCCCACCUUCUGCCCUGGGGAUUCCUGGCUGGGUGGUCAACAAGGGGAGUCUGGGGGUUCAGCACCCAACUCUGCUCAGCCAACAUCCCCCUCGGGACUUACCUUGCCCCUGGGGGCCUCGGACACUGGGAGCACGGUGGACAGUUCACACUGAGCUCUCGCCUAGACGGUCCCAACCCAGACACAAAUGCAGGAACUCUUCCUCCUCCAGCGUCCACGGUCACCCAGGAUGCACCACGGCAUCCAGACCCAGCUUCCUGACCCAGCCCUGCCCCUUCCUAGCUCAGGCCAGGGCCCAGGAGACCCCUCCACAUCCCUCACCCCACCCUACCCCGUCACCUCCCUUCCACCCCCACCCCCUCACCUGCCUCCUGCCCCCCUCACCUCCCUCCCAC
rnacentral:lncRNA from 1 species